rnacentral:rRNA from 1 species
GCUGCCUGACUGUGGCGCAGAUGCAAAGCCAGAUGGACCCGGUAUACACGCCGGCGCGAAAAAUCCACCUGUACCACUGCGACCAUCGCGGCCUGCCGCUGGCCCUUAUCAGUAAGGAAGGGGCAACAGAAUGGUGCGCAGAAUACGAUGAGUGGGGCAACCUGCUGAAUGAAGAGAACCCGCAUCAGCUGCAGCAGCUUAUCCGCCUGCCGGGGCAGCAGUAUGAUGAGGAGUCCGGCCUGUAUUACAACCGCCACCGCUAUUAUGACCCGCUGCAGGGGAGGUAUAUCACUCAGGAUCCGAUUGGACUGAAGGGGGGAUGGAACCUGUAUACAUAUCCGCUGAGCCCGGUGAAUGGCAUGGAUCCAUUAGGAUUAUAUGAAUUUAAAUCAAAAAAUAUAGAUGAUAUUGGAAUAUUUGCAUUGGCAAUGUGUAAUGGAGAAUCAAUUAACGAGAAUAAAGAAUAUGGUGGACUAAUAUGUAAGAAGCAAGGUGAAUAUUUCCCCAUGAAUCCGAUAAGUUCAAAUGAUAAUGAUAGUGUAGACUUGCGAAAUAUAAAAUGCCCUGAAGGUUCAGAGAGAGUAGGCGAUUAUCACACUCACGGUUUUUACUCUGACGAUAAAGGAAAUAAAGUAACAAAAGAAAAUGAUGUUUAUGAUAGUCUAAAUUUUUCAAGCAAAGAUUUAACGAAUUCUUAUAUGAAUGGAAUGGGAAAAAAAGAAUGCAGUAGUUACUUGGGAACACCAAAUAACACCUAUCUAAAAUAUAAUCCCAAAGCUAAAGGGAAUGGAGUUACAAUUAUCAGGCAAGGGAGUAAUUAAAAUGAAGGCAAUACAAUGUUGUUAUUUCCUUGCUUUAGUCUCCAGUCAUUUAAUGGCUGGAGUUAUGAGUGAUGACAAUAUAUUUUUAAGUAAUUCGGAUUUAGCUGCUUUAUAUUGUGUGGCUAAAAUAUUUCC